rnacentral:rRNA from 1 species
GAUGAACGCUGGCGGCGUGCUUAACACAUGCAAGUCGAACGAAGCACUUUAUUUGAUUUCCUUCGGGACUGAUUAUUUUGUGACUGAGUGGCGGACGGGUGAGUAACACGUGGGUAACCUGCCUUGUACAGGGGGAUAACAGUUGGAAACGGCUGCUAAUACCGCAUAAGCGCACAGCAUCGCAUGAUGCAGUGUGAAAAACUCCGGUGGUAUAAGAUGGACCCGCGUUGGAUUAGCUAGUUGGUGAGGUAACGGCCCACCAAGGCGACGAUCCAUAGCCGACCUGAGAGGGUGACCGGCCACAUUGGGACUGAGACACGGCCCAAACUCCUACGGGAGGCAGCAGUGGGGAAUAUUGCACAAUGGGCGAAAGCCUGAUGCAGCGACGCCGCGUGAGCGAAGAAGUAUUUCGGUAUGUAAAGCUCUAUCAGCAGGGAAGAUAAUGACGGUACCUGACUAAGAAGCACCGGCUAAAUACGUG